AAGUCGUAACAAGGUUUCCGUAGGUGAACCUGCGGAAGGAUCAUUAGAGAAUGUGGCACUGUCCCUGGGGGCCUCGGCUCCCUAAGUUGGCGGUGCUCCGGUGGUGGCGUCUGAGGUGGUUCCAGCCCGGUCCUGCGAUCGGACGGUACUUCCUAUCGGCCUAAGCUGCACCCUAUGCAAACGUACCUUUGUUGCUUUGGCAGGAGCUGCCCAGCGUACGCUAGGCGGCUGCGGCUCACCCCGUAGCCCUGCCAGAGGACCCAACUCUUGAUUUUAGUGAUGUCUGAGUACUAUUAAAUAGUUAAAA
rnacentral:misc_RNA from 1 species